rnacentral:rRNA from 1 species
GACUUCGGUUGAGAUGGAGACUGGCGCACGGGUGAGUAACGCGUAGACAACCUGCCUAAAUCUGGGGGAUAACCGCCCGAAAGGGUGGCUAAUACCGCAUAAUGCAGCGGGGCCGCAUGGCCACAGUUGUUAAAAGUUUCGGCUGGAUUUAGAUGGGUCUGCGUGCUAUUAGUUAGUUGGUGAGGUAACGGCUCACCAAGGCGAUGAUAGCUAGGGGGUCUGAGAGGAUGAUCCCCCACACUGGGACUGAGACACGGCCCAGACUCCUACGGGAGGCAGCAGUGAGGAAUCUUGCGCAAUGGGGGAAACCCUGACGCAGCCACGCCGCGUGCCGGAAGACGGCCCUAUGGGUUGUAAACGGCUUUUAUUUGGGAAGAAUCUGGGGGUUUUGAUCCCCACUGACGGUACCAAUUGAACAAGCACCGGCUAACUCCGUGCCAGCAGCCGCGGUAAUACGGAGGGUGCAAGCGUUGUCCGGAAUCAUUGGGUGUAAAGGGUGCGCAGGCUGGCGCCUAAGUCGGAGGUGAAAUCUUGCCGCUUAACGGUAAAAUGGCCUCCGAUACUGGGUGUCUUGAAUCUGACAGAGGUCGGUGGAAUUCGUGGUGUAGCGGUGAAAUGCAUAGAUAUCACGAAGAACAUCAGUGGCGAAGGCGGCCGGCUGGGUCAGUAUUGACGCUGAGGCACGAGAGCGUGGGGAGCGAACAGGAUUAGAUACCCUGGUAGUCCACGCUGUAAACGAUGUAUGCUAGUUGUAGGGCUUUCGGGCUCUGUGACGCAGUUAACGCAGUAAGCAUACCACCUGGGGAGUACGUUCGCAAGAAUGAAACUCAAAGGAAUUGACGGGGGCCCGCACAAGCGGUGGAGCAUGUGGCUUAAUUCGAUGCAACGCGAAGAACCUUACCCGGGCUAAAUCACCGGUGACCGCUCCCGAAACGGAGCUUCCUUCGGGGCACCGGCGAAGGUGCUGCAUGGCUGUCGUCAGCUCGUGCCGUGAGGUGUUGCCUUAAGUGGCGCAACGAGCGCAACCCCUGUGGUUAGUUACCAGCACGUAAUGGUGGGGACUCUAGCCAGACUGCCUACGCAAGUAGUGAGGAAGGUGGGGACGACGUCAAGUCAUCAUGGCCCUUAUGUCCGGGGCUGCACACGUGCUACAAUGGACGGUACAGCGGGAAGCCACCACGCAAGUGGGCGCAGAUCCCGAAAGCCGUUCCCAGUUCGGAUUGGAGUCUGCAACUCGACUCCAUGAAGGUGGAAUCGCUAGUAAUCGCGUAUCAGCAACGACGCGGUGAAUACGUUCCCGGGCCUUGUACACACCGCCCGUCAAGCGAUGGAAGUUAGGAGUACCUGACGUCGCCGUGCUAACUCUUCGGGGAAGGCAGGUGCCUAGGGUAAGCCUAGUAACUGGCGCUAAGUCGU